rnacentral:rRNA from 1 species
AUUGAACGCUGGCGGCAGGCCUAACACAUGCAAGUCGAGCGGAUGACGGGAGCUUGCUCCUUGAUUCAGCGGCGGACGGGUGAGUAAUGCCUAGGAAUCUGCCUGGUAGUGGGGGACAACGUUUGGAAAGGAACGCUAAUAACGCAUACGUCCUACGGGAGAAAGCAGGGGACCUUCGGGCCUUGCGCUAUCAGAUGAGCCUAGGUCGGAUUAGCUAGUUGGUGGGGUAAUGGCUCACCAAGGCGACGAUCCGUAACUGGUCUGAGAGGAUGAUCAGUCACACUGGAACUGAGACACGGUCCAGACUCCUACGGGAGGCAGCAGUGGGGAAUAUUGGACAAUGGGCGAAAGCCUGAUCCAGCCAUGCCGCGUGUGUGAAGAAGGUCUUCGGAUUGUAAAGCACUUUAAGUUGGGAGGAAGGGCAGUAAGCUAAUACCUUGCUGUUUUGACGUUACCGACAGAAUAAGCACCGGCUAACUCUGUGCCAGCAGCCGCCGUAACAC